UAACUUCGCGCUUCAUACAACAAAUUUUUAAUGCAAACCGAUCCGCUUCGGCGUCCCCAUCGCGAAGAAAAAGAAAGAAAAAACAGCUUUCCCUACCGCUCCAUCCUCUCCUUCCCUGCCGCCUCCAUCCUCUCCCUCGCUGCCGCCUCCAUCUCCCUCGCCACGCUCUCCGUCUCGCCGGCCGGCGGCGCGAAGCCACCCGAAUCGCGGCCAAGUCUGGUGCCCGUAGGGAGGCGGCGCCAGUUCGGUCAUUGGCGACUUCGCCGCCGCAGCAGCACGUCCCCGGCGCCCCGGCAAGCUCGUGCGCCAGCCACUGGCCACAACAACUUUUCUACCCCGACGCUCUGACGAGCUCGUCCGCCAGCCCGUCGACACCAUCGUACCUGUAACACCCCCCCCCCCACCUCUCAUGGAAUCCUCUACUGCAAACCCUACAUGGUAUAAAUUUCUGCUUUUAAUUCAAUCUUCGCCAAUUGCAAUUUCUUUAGCUCGAAUUUGCAUCAUUAGGUAAUUUCUGUGUUCAGCGUCUAGAAUACUUGAUUCAGCGUGUGUAGGUCUUCAGGGAAUUUCUGUACUGCCAAGUCUUUACUCACAUCUGUGUCUGAAUUUCUAAGUCUGAAUCAGCGUGUGUAGGUGUAGCCUGAAUUACCAAAAUAGUGAGCUUCACUUGACGUCUUUUUGCUUUUGCUUGCUUCAUUGAGCAAGUGAUAUAUCACAUCAAGACACUAGUUAGGACAUGCUUUUUGAACAAAGGAUUGAUUGUGCUUCAUAUAGCACAAACAGUAGGAUUAUCAUAUGGAUCACAAAGUUAAUUUCAUAUUGAUACAUGCCACAUAUGGAUCACAAAGUUAGAUCCCACAAAACAAUAAAUGAAAACCUUCAAGUUACUACCUCUAUGUUACUACCCACUAUGGAGGUAGUAACAUAGAGUACUAACAUAUGCAUGUUACUACUCUAUGUUACUAUCCACUCAAGGUUUACGAGUCGACGAGUUGACGAGUCGUUCCGAGGUAGAGACUCAUAGACUAAUCGAGACUAGUCUAGACUAGUGCUAGACUAGUCGACAUGGUACUGUAGUACUCAGCUACUAAUACCUAGUGGCAGUAUGUAGUAUAUACUAACAGUACAGUAUGCAAUAAAACCAGCCACUGUCUAAAUAAUUGGGCUAUGCAGUGUUCUGGGCCCAAGUGGGUAUGCCAUAGGACCAGCCACUGUCUAAAUACUAGCCCAGCACCACGCAGCACCCCCAGCUGGCCCAUUUGGGCCCAAAUGGCCAGCCUACUUAGCCCCCAACCACUGGAACCCUAGCUCCCGACCACUCCAAUCGCCGCCGCCAGCGCCAUCACGCAUGGGAGCACGCGCGCACGCGACCCGUGCCUCCUCCCGCCUUCUACCGGUCCCUGCCGCUGCCGCCGGCGAGCCCGCCGACCACCGCCAUGCCUCCUCCUUUCCUCUCCUCUCUCUCUCUCUCUUCCUUCUCUCUCGUCUCAAGGCCGCGCGCCCCUAUGGGUCACGGCCAUGGUCGCUGCCUGAGCACGAGCUCCGGCCGGCCGCCGCACCUGGCUGCGCCAUCCGCCGUCCCGGCGGUGGGUGGCGGCGGCGGUGGCAGGGCAGUGGGUGCUGGCGGCGCCUCGUCCCAGCUGAGGCAGCUCUCUUUUUUGAGUCGCUCGACUCGUAUGUGUCGACUAGUCCAUCCACAGCUCGACUCCUAUUUGUAGUCUACACGAAAAAAUGAGUCGACAUCCACUUUGCGACUCGUAGACUAGUCGAGCGACUAGUCUAGACUAGUCGUUUGACUCAUAAUCGCUGUAUCCACCGUGGCUAGUCUGAAGGGAAGCUUUUCCCAUUGCCAAUACAUGUAUGCGGAGUUAUAUAUUUUUUGCAGCACAAGCAUAGAAGGCAACAUGCCUCAGGUUCCAGCUGGCCGUGUCCGUGUGGCACACCAUCACCGCCUCCACGCCGGUGUUGUUCAAAAUAUUCAUGAGGCAGUAGAACACGGCGUGUGGCUCCCUGCAUCGUCGACCUCUCCUUGCCGUCGACGUGGACCUUAGGUGCCUGGUCCCGAGACUGGAGGGCACAAAGUCGAGGAAACUACAGCUUGUUUUUCUUAGCGACAGUGUUACAAUAAUUUAGUUACAGGUAAACAACAAAAGAUUGAUAAUGCUUUACCUUGCUCUUACCUUGCUGAAAUCUCAAGAAACGCAUAUUGCUACUGAAACUCAAACGGAUACUACAACACGAACAAUUUAGGUAAACUAAAAAAAUUAAAUGAGGAAUAUUCCAAAUUAAACCUGUAAUCAUGACACCAGCGGUCACUACUCGCUAGUCGACUAGUCAAGGAUAACAGGAGCGUCGGAAGUCCGACGAUAGGAAUUACAUACAAGUGUAGUGUUCCUCAUUGUGUACGUCCUAAUAAUGCAAAAGCUAGUGCUGAACUUGUAUGCUUUGUAUUAAUUUGAUAUGAAGUUAUGAGUCAAUAAAGGCAUAUUUUAUUUAAAAAACAGAAUUGAACAAUAAGUGACGUCGUGAGGAACUCUUUGUUUCUGCAGCCCUGUUGUUCCUAUGAUCUCCGGUCCUACUAAUUGGGCACCUCCUCUUCAAUUUUAUCUCAGUGAGGGGGGUGAUUCUGAAAAUGUGCGAGCUGUUAGGUGUUCGGGAGGACGUCUGCGCGGGCGACUGCGCGCCCGCAUCGGUGCGGGCGCCGGCCUCGGCUACGCCGGCGGGCUGGUCCGUGGUCCGUCGUGGCGCGUGCUUCCCCCAGGUGAGCGGCGUGGAGGGCCGCGACGGCGCAACACCGGCGGGGGGUGGCGCUCGCUCCAACCGCUUUUGGGCGCUGGCGGCGGAGGAUUCGGAUGUCGAGGACGUGGAUGUGGAUUCGGAGUCGGAGCGGGGCCUGCAUGCGGUGCCAGACGGGCCGUCGAUCAGAGAUUUCGUGGCCUUUGCGGCGUCAGAGAGAGAGGCGGGCUCGGGGCGCGGGCGGCGCUUUGCGCCGGGCGGCCGCGGCUCCAGGGCCAUGGCCUCGCGCAUCUGGCAGCCGGCGACGUUGGCCCGUUCGGGCUUGGGGGUUGGAGCUCCGUCGGGGGCGGCGCAACUCAGGUCCAAGACGGCGGCGUGCUUGCUGGAGGGCCGGCCGGAGAUGUCCAGGGAGGACUGGCCAUGCCUGCUGGCGCCCCCUGCGGCGGCGGCGGUGGCGCCGUCCGUUCGGGAGGAGAUGCGCACCGCUCCGAGCCCUAGGGUUGGGACGGAUGGGCCGGCAGUGGGUGACAGACCUGGGCCGACUUCGGGUGCGGGGCUGGCUGCGGGUGUUGGGCCUGGGCUGGUUGGCCUGUCGGGUUCCGGCUCUGGUUUGCCUGUGGGGCGGGGUCAGGAGAUGGCCAUGGACUCGCGGUCACACGCGCCUCCGCGGCCCAAAGUGUCUCGGCCCGACCCACGGCCAACCGCCGGCUAUAAAUGGAUGCGGAGGGGUUGCCUGGAUCCCCAUUUAGGGUUUCCAGCCACCACUAGUGAGGUGCGGCGCCUCGCUCAUUCCGCCCGCACUCUCAAGAUAUGCCCCCUCCUCCCCCCUCCUCCAUUCCUUCACGACGGUGGUGAUGGGCGACCGGCGCGCCGACAAGCGGCCGAUGGAGAUCCCAGAUCCGGAGGCGGAGAGGCGCAGGGAACGCGAGCUGCGCGACAGCGCGAAGCGCGUGAUGCGCGAGCGCUCUGGUGGGCGCGAGGUCAGAGAAGAGCGCGGUGGAUCUCGCGACCAAGGCGGGCGCGAGGGGGGCUGGGGUCCUCCUCCCCCGUGGUGGAUCCAACAGCAAGAGCGCAAGAAGAAGGAGAAGGUCCUCCAGCGGCGGCGCGAGCUUGAGAGGAAGCAAGAGGCUCAUCCAAACUGUGGUGGGGGCCACGGGGAUCUGAUGGCCAAGAAGCCGCGUGCGCCCGUAGAUCCACUGGCGGUGGCGCUACCCACAGCGUCCAAGGGCACGGCGGAGGAGCCCAUCCCGGUGGAGGAGGUAUCGGAAGUCGAGUGUUUCUAGUGCGGGCGCCUUUGUCACUACCAAUCCAAAUGCAAGUUCUUGCCCCUCUGUGUUCUCUGCAAGGAAGAAGGGCAUGCGUCCGCACACUGCCCGACGAGGGGCCGGCAAUUGCAUCUUCAAAUCAUGGGAAGUGCCAUCUCUAGGGAGGGUUUCUUCUGCCUCGUGUUUGAAGACGACGACGAGUCUGAGGCCCCCAUUGAUGCUCGUAUCAAGAACGCGGCCAUCCUCUGUGCGGAGCCGGGAAAGCUUAAUCUCUGUAUCCUUAAACAAGAGCUGAAGCACAUGGUGAUGGGCGAUUGGGAUUGGCAGGUCACUCAAGUGGGAGAUGACGAUUUCGUGGUGGUCUUUCCUUUUGCAGAUCUGUUACACAUGGCAAAAUCGAGCGGGAAGUUGUUUCUGUCUAUCAACGACAUCACUGCGUGUGUGUGCGACAUGCUUCACGAGGAGAUCCAGCCUAUGGUGAUGCCUGAGACAUGGGUUAGGCUCCAUGGCAUCCCAAAGAAACAUAGGCGUGAAGACCGCAUCAAGUAGGGGUUCCGGAUGCUGGGCCGGCCGAUUGUGGUCGAUGAGUUAUCGCUGAUCAUGUUGGGACCUGUUCGAAUGAAGCUCGCUUGCAAAGCCCCGGAGAAGCUUAAUGGAGUUAUCGAGGUGUGGUUCAAUCAUGAGGGCUAUCAGAUCAAGGUUGAGCGUGAGACCCUUCCCAAAAGGGGUGGAGAGCGGUUUGUGCACGGCUCUGGCCCUUCCCAUCCUCCCCCAAGGACGCUGAUCUGUCAAAGGAAGCACGGUCUCAGGGCAACUCCAAGCAAGGCAGGGCUGAACCAGGCAAUGACCAGCAAGGGGGCGAGGGCGCUCCUAGUGCUGCGGCGAACCAGGACUCCAAGAUGCUCGACAUGGGGGAGGAACAAGACGAUAGCAUUCAGGACACCUCCAUUGACACGGAAACUUGGGACAAGCUGGGAGCGCUGUCGGCUGAUGCUGGGGCUAUUGGGGUGGCGACUCAGGACACCGCGGUGAGUGUGCCUCCGCUCGCUCGCUCUCUGGAGCUGACCUUCAAUGAAUACGGGUCCAACUUCUCUGCCCCGAUCCAGGAGGUGGCGGCACACCUUGGCGCGGGUGGGGGCCCCGCUGCUGCUCCUCUCCCUGCCUCAUCCUCUCUAGUGGCCGUGGGGGCGGACUCUGGCUGCGUGGUGAACGAGGGGGCCGACAUGACGCCUGCUCCGCGACAUGGUUCCAACAGCGCUGGUCGGCAACCUAAGAAAACGGCGGGGAGGAAGCCGGCUAACAAACAGGCGAUGAUCGUGGCGGCGGUGAUUGCGUCGGACCUUGGUGGAGAGUUGGGGGCAGCGUUGUGGGCGACUGGAACGAGCAGCAAGGCCAGGCGCUCCAAGGCGACCCCGGUGGUGCAGAGAGCUCCCAGCGUUCGGGCCAAGGCCAAGCUGGGCGACCUAUCAUCCAUGGAGAGCGCCAAGCUCCGCAUCGCCGAUAAGAACAUGGACUCCUCAGGUAAUCCCUUGCCCUCUUUCCGUAUUCUAAAUGCUUUCUCGGACGAUCACCUGGCGAGCAUUUUAGAUGAUUGUGGAGUGGCGAUUAGCGGUUCUCAGAACAAUAUUAUACCACUCGUGCGAGCUAGGGAAGAGGCGCAAGCAGCGCUGGCUGCUGCUGCUGUUCGCUGCGCUGACAGCAACUCGUUAGCCAUCGUACCAGUAGAGGCUGGUGACGAGGGCAUGCCCGAUGAAGCGACACAAGCUAGGGAAGCUGGUGUACUUCCUUCAAAUGGCCGUGAAACGACAUGUACUCUCAGGGUGUGCGCCUACGAAAUAGGAUUAUAUAAAUGAGGUACAUGUUCUGGAAUAUCCGUGGUUGUGGCCACGGUGGCCGUCGUACUCAGCUUAACGAGUACAUGGACAAAGAACGUAUCGAUGUGGUUGUGCUGCAGGAGACGAUCAAAACUGAUUUUACAUUCAGAGAACUUCUCGCGUACGACCCCCUUCAACGAUUUGAUUGGCAUUGGGUUCCCUCCGUGGGGCAUUCUCGUGGCAUUUUGAUGGGUUGUAAUAGGGAUGUAUGUGAUGUAUUGCAAUGGGAUGUUGGUGUUUUCUUUUUGUCUGCAACUAUUAAACAUCGUGUAUCUGGUUUGUCGUGGGUUGUCAUGUGUGUUUAUGGGCCAGCGGAUCACUCCACAUCGCCGGCGUUCCUUCUUGAACUGACAAACCUGGUUGGGGCCAAAAGGGCAAACAACCUCCCUGUGGUUGUUGGUGGUGAUUUUAACUUGAUACGCUCAGGGGCGGACAAGAAUAAUGCUAAUAUCGAUUGGAUUAGGGUGUCCUUAUUCAAUAAUGCCAUUGCGGCAGCAGCAUUGGAUGAAGUGGCGCGGACCGGGGCCAGAUAUACCUGGACUAACAAACAAACUCAACCGGUGCGUAGCGUGUUGGAUAGGGUAUUUUUUUACGCCCGAAUGGGAGGUCCUGUUUCCCAUGUGUUCUCUCGUGGCGGAGACGCGCAUUGGAUCAGACCAUGUGCCGCUGAUAUUUCCUUAGGGGAGGAUCUCAUCCGGCGUAGCCCUAGAUUCUACUUCAAAACGGAUUGGUUCGAAGCGGAGGGUUUCGCCCAGAUGGUGGUAGAUCGAUGGGGAGCGAUCUGUACCCAAUUGGGGCCCCAACGUGGGCCAGCGGAGCGCUGGAACGCAGCAGCAGGCAAGCUUCGUGCUUUCCUGCGCGGGUGGGGCGCUAACCACAAUAGCGAAUCCAAGAAGGCUUGCGCGCGUAUUGUAGAGACAAUUGCACUGUUAGAUGCGGAAGCAGAUCGCCGUCCCUUUUUGGAGGACGAUUGGGCCCAUAGGUACGCCUUGGAAAACCAAGUCACGGCGAUUUUGCAUGCGAAGGAGUACUGGCGACGCAGGGGCGGAGUCAAAUGGGUCACGAAAGGAGACGCAAACACCGGAUAUUUCCACGCCUAUGCGAACGGGAGGAAAAGGAAGUGCUUCAUUGUGGGUCUUCAAUCCGAGCACGGGCUCCUGUUGACGCAGGAACAAAUUGUGGCUCAUAUUUAUGAGUUUUUCAUAGGCCUUUUGGGGACGGCCGUCGAAAAACCGCUCUGCUUGCGCGAUGAUCCGUGGGAUCCCGCGGAGCUUGUCUCUUCGGAGGAGAACGAUAGGCUUGCUCUCGCUUUUCUGCCCGAGGAAAUAGAUCAGUCUCUUGACGACAUGAAAACGAGCACGGCGCCCGGGCCGGACGGGUGGCCUGUCGAGUUCUUCAAGAGAUUCUGGCCUUGCCUUAAGCACCUGUUCUACGAUAUCGUCAACGGCCUUGCUUUAGGCACGGUUGACCUUUCUCGCCUGAACUAUGGAGCCAUUAGCCUUAUUCCUAAGGUGAAAGGGGCGGAUAACAUUAAGCUUUUUAGACCCAUCACCCUGAUUAACGUUCCUUUCAAAAUUUGUGUGAAAGCUUAUGCCUCCCGUUUGGCUCCGGCCGCUCAACGUAUCAUUAGUUCUAGUCAGACAUGUUUUCUCAAACGACGAAACAUACUUGAGGGACCAAUCGCGUUACAAGAAAUAGUUCACGAGUUAAAACGCACCAACGCACAGGGAGUGCUUCUUAAAUUAGACUUCGAGAAAGCCUAUGAUCGCGUGAACUGGGAGUUUGUGCGAGAGGUCUUCCUCAAAAAGGGUUUUGAGGCAGAUUUCGUGCAUCGCAUCAUGCACCUCAUGUGUAGUGGGCACACGGCGGUCACUGUCAAUGGCACAAUGGGUAAGUUUUUCCGUAACAAACGUGGUCUCCGUCAGGGAGACCCAAGCUCGCCUCUCAUUUUUAACUUUGUCGCGGAUGCCCUAGCGGCCAUGAUUAAUAAAGCGAGGGUAGCGGGACACAGUAAAGGGCUUGUAGCCCACCUUAUUCCUGGUGGGGUUACGCAUCUGCAAUACGCAGAUGAUACGAUGCUCUUGUUCGAGCUCGACGACCACAACAUAGCUACCAUCAAGUUACUACUGCUCGCUUUUGAGAUUUUAUCGGGGCUUAAGAUCAACUUUCUGAAGAGCGAAGUGAUCACCAUUGGGGUGGAUGAUCUAGAAAGUGCUCGGAUCGCCAAUCUACUCAAUUGCAAGCUAGGGAGCUUCCCGAUUAAGUACCUGGGCCUCUCGAUCUCGACCAAGAAACUAACCAUAGCGGAAUGGGAGCCGCUGUAUGGGAAAGUUGCUAACCGAGUGAGCCCUUGGAGGGGCAGGUUUAUGUCCUCGGCGGCGAGGCUUAUUCUCACCAACUCGAGCUUAUCCUCCCUUCCUAUUUUCACAAUGGGAAUGUUCCUACUUGCGGAUGGGGUUCACGCUAGAUUCGAUACUCCGCGCUCUCGGUUCUUUUGGGAAGGAGCUGGGACCAAGCGCAAGUACCACUUAGUGAAAUAGGCAGCGGUUUGUAGGCCAAAAAAAUUCGGCGGCUUGGGUGUUAUGAAUUCUAAACUCAUGAACGUGGCCCUGCUUACUAAGUGGUGGUGGCGUCUUACCCAAAACGAGUCGGGACUCUGGGUAGACAUCCUCCGGGCUAAAUAUUUUCCGGAUGGGAAUUUGUUCAAGGCUAAAAGCAAUGGUUCGGCCUUUUGGAAUGGGGUCCAAGCGGUACGACCGGCUUUUGCAGUGGGUGCGCAGUUCUGUGUCAAUGAUGGCAAGUCCACGCGCUUCUGGCUCGAUCAUUGGUGGGGUCAGGAACGGUUGUGGCAAUCUCAUCCAGAAUUGUACCAACUCGCAACGGACACCAACAUUAUGGUGGCCGAUGCUUUGCGAGUCCAACCGUCUACCAUCUCCUUUAUUAGGACGCUAGAGACAACGGAGGCCGCCAGCUGCUCAUUGGCGGCUGACUUGGAAAGACUGAUGCGUAGUAGUGGGGCGGAUACGAUUACGUGGAAGUUGACCUCCUCCAAGAAAUUUACGGUCAAGUCCCUGUACGACAAGCUCUCCGAGGGCACUACGCUUGAUAUAGCUAGGGGGCUAUGGAAGGCCGGUAUUCCUCUCAAAAUCAAGAUUUUCUUGUGGCAAAUGUUUCGCAACCGCUUACCAACUUCUGAUAAUGUGGCCAAAUGCAAUGGGCCGGCGACGGAACAUGCACCACUUGCAGUUUAGAGGAAAACGCAAACCACGUGUUCUUUGGCUGUGUGCUCGCUAGAUUUGCGUAGAGUGCGGUUAGAGAUGCUUUCAAACAAAAUUGGAAUCCACAGUCUAGCCACGAUGCUCUUUCUAUCUUAACGACGCAAAGAGGGGCCAAUGCAAGGAUCGUUUGGAGAUGCGUUGGGGCGCUGCUUUGGUCCCUUUGGACGGUUCGGAACAAAAUUACGAUAAAGCACAAGUUCCCGGCCCACCCUGCUGACAUCAUCUUCAAAUGUCACAUUUUCCUUCAGGUAUGGGCGCCGCUGGGGAAGAAGCGUGACGUGGAACGCAUGAACGAGACUAUGGAGCUGAUCAAGACGACCAUGGUGAAGGCACGACAAGGGACGACUGCUUGAUCAUGGGACCCCUACUUUUAGCUAUCUAUCUACUUGAUGCUCCGCUUUUGUGCUCUUGAACUUCUGGCUGUUGCCUGCUUAGCUUUAUUCUGAGCCUUGGGUUCGAUGACUGUUUUAUUUGGUUUGUAAGACUUAAGUAUGUGUGGAUCCUGCCUGGUGGCUUUAUUAAUUUAAAGCCGGACGCUCCUAGCGUCUAUGUUCCAAGAAAAAUUUAUCUCAGUACUACAGGAAUUGUUGUAUGUGAUGACUGAUGACAUUGGUAAGGUCCUUCGUCUUGGGAUUUUA
rnacentral:lncRNA from 1 species